rnacentral:rRNA from 1 species
UACGGAGGAUCCAAGCGUUAUCCGGAUUUAUUGGGUUAAAGGGUGCGUAGGCGGCUUUUUAAGUCAGGGGUGAAAACUUGCGGCUCAACCGUAAGCUUGCCUUUGAUACUGAGGAGCUUGAAUACACUUGAGGUAGGCGGAAUGUGACAAGUAGCGGUGAAACUGCAUAGAUAUGUCACAGAACACCAAUUGCGAAGGCAGCUUACUAAAGUGAGAUUGACGCUGAGGCACGAAAGCGUGGGGAUCAAACAGG